rnacentral:ncRNA from 1 species
AAUUUGCAGUUUUUGUGGUCUUUGAUUGUUGUGUUAUAUUUUGUUAGCAUUUUAAGUAAAAUAUUAACUGAUAAUAAAAGUUCCAAAGUUGUUAUAUUUUUUACAAUUUUGCAGUUAAAAUACAUCCCCUUCUUCGCAGGUGUCAAUCAAGAAACGCUCGGAACACGGUAAUUCUAGAGCUAAUACAUGCGAGAAGCGCCGACCUCGCGGGAGGCGUGCAUUUAUCAGACCAAAAACCGGCCGCGUCUUCGGGCGCGUUCGCCUUGGUGACUCUGGAUAACUUUGCGGAUCGCACGGUCUAGCACCGGCGACGGAUCAUUCAAGUGUCUGCCCUAUCAACUUUCGUCGGUACGGUAUUUGCCUACCGAGGUUCUUACGGGUGACGGGGAAUCAGGGUUCGAUUCCGGAGAGGGAGCCUGAGAAACGGCUACCACAUCCAAGGAAGGCAGCAGGCGCGCAAAUUACCCAUUCCCUGACGCGGGGAGGUAGUGACGAAAAAUAACAAUGCAGGACUCGUUCGAGGCC